GGCUGGGCUGUGUAAAGGAAUUAGGGAGGGCGCGGAAGCCGGUCACGGACGAGUGGGCGUCAACACUUUGUAAACAGCUAGUGGGAAGUGUUGGGAAAACGCUAGUAGGGAUACGGGGAACGGAGAACAGAGUGCUACGGCGGCAGGCUCCCUGCCGUCUGAGGCUUAAUGGCGCCCUAGCUCUAGGGUCCACAGACUGGCAACUGCGCUUAGUGUCGGUAAACGUGUCGCACUUCUAUUGGCAUGAGAUGGAUCUCUGGGGAUUUUGAGCGGAUCUUGAUCUCCGCACUAAAUCUGUGCGGAACUAUUGGUGGCCUGAGCCUCGCGCAGAGUGCUGGACGAGCAGUACACAGGAGCGUGACUGCGCUUUGAAUCCAUAGGGCCUUCUGUGUGCAAUCACUGUGGGCCACUCGGGUGCCAUUGUCCAAAGUCAAUCCGGUUUACAGUGUGGCAGUGUAGAGCACGGAAGUGGCCCGCGGUUAAAUGUGUAGUGAUCGUGAUCGUGUGAUCAGAUUUCAAUAACACCAAAGAAGAAGGAAGCCAGCAUAGGGUUCAAAAGCCAGGCUCUGGAGAUGACUUCUGGGCUUCAUCUAUAAAGAUGCAGCAAUGUCUGUCAGCUUUACAACACGCUGAAUUCUCAAUUGUUAAGUAAUAAUAAAUCUCACCAGAAUAUUGGGAAAGUUUCUAACAGCUUUAGCUUAUAGUCCUCAUUAAAUCUAAUGGGGCUGAUAUUCUAAGAAAUUCUCUUCUUUGAUGCUAGAGAUGGGAAUUUAAAAAUCUACGAGACUAUACUGUAUCUUUGCACUUUCUAUUGCCUUUCUUUGGCUCUCAUAAUGUUUCUGGUCUUCCCCUCACCCCACCCCCGUUUCUAACAUGGCCCCUUUUCCAUGCCCUUGUUCAGCAUGUUCAGAAUACGCCAUUGUCCAACAUACAGUAAUUCAUAUAGUAACGUUGUGUGCUUCUGAAACUACUUUCCAGAGAGUCCCCUUUUGAUUUCUUUCCAAAACCAAAACAAGAACAGUGUACCCAAAGUAAACUGUACCUUGAUAAGAAUGUGCUGAUAGCUCUAUCUUGCCUACUCCCAAACCUGAAUUGGGUGCCCUUAGUUUCGGCACGAAAUAGAAGGGAACAGUUUGCAUCUACUUGCAAAUCUGCUUGCAACUCACUUCCUAUUUCACAACCUAAUCUCAGAUGAUACCACAGUGCCUACAGUAUGCUGAUCACUACCAACAGCAGAUGGAGUCAGAUAAAAAGAGCUCUCUGGUUAGUAUGUUGUUGGGAGAGGACCUGAUGGAGUGAUGAAAUCAUAGGCAACAUUGCCCCUAGUUGGUUUUUAAAUAACACUUCGUAGCAUAUGUCUGGCUCCGAUGUGAAGAAUCUCAACAAAUCAAAUUCAGGAUUUUGACAUUUAACUG
ensembl:lncRNA